AUCAGCUUUUUCUCUAACUCUCGUUUUAAGUUCUAACCCUCCUCCAAAACUGAUCUUCCUUCUCCCAAUUGACCGCUCCUUCUCUAAUAUAUUGGUUCUUCACCGAAUCGGUUGUCUAUUCACCGAAUCAAUUGUUCCUACGUCCAAUCAUUUGUUCCAUCACCGAAUUGAUUCGUUCGUUUGCCGAAUCAAUUGUUGCUUCACUGAAUCAUUUCCCCCCAAAUCAAUUUUCCUUCUUCGAAAUGAUUCUUCCUUCCCUGAAUCUAUUGUUUCUUCACCGAAUCAAUUGUUUCUUUUUCAUAGUGAUUUCCCCCGCUCUUUCGUUUUGUAGUGGCUCUCCUGCCCAUAUCGAUUUCCUAUUUUCCAUUCCUCAAUUUGCUUUUCCCUUCCAGAAAUAAUUUUUAUUUCUACAUCGAAAUAUUCGAGAUAUGUGGUUCUCUUUUCUGAUAUCCCAAACUGAUGGCGGAAGAGGGAUUUAGUUGAAGUUGGAGUUUAAGAACUGUUUGCGAGAUUUCGAUUUUGGUUUUUUGUGUUCUUUAUUCUAUAUAAUAACUUUGUUCAGGUAUUUUUUUAAUUUACUGUAUAUAUAAUUUACAGUUAUUACUUUAUAAUAGCUACUUUGUUGAGGUAUUUGUUCAGGUUCUGUGAGUUUGUUCUUUUUUUAUAAGAAAUGUUAAAUUUUUGUGUUAUAUACUAUUUAGUUUAAUUUGAUAUAUUCUUAGAAGUAUUAAGUUUGUACGUAUAAUGGCAAUAAAAUUUGACAAUGACUUUUAAUUUGCAAGAACAAGAUAAAUAUGUUUUACAUAUAGUGACCAAUUCACUCAACUUUCCUUCAACCUGAAUGUGGUUCUAAUUAAACCUUUCCGGGAAAGCCAUCUUCCACAUACAUGGCAUAGACAAUUUUGAGUGGUUUCCUUCUACAAUACAUUCAAGAAACAAAAUUCAAGUGAUCCAAGAUGUACUUUUGAAUUGAACUACCUCUGUUUCUACUUGCAAGUUAUCUUCCCUACUCUUAAUAAGUUUUUUCUCUUUAAUCAUGAUGUGGUUGUGCAACAAGAUCUCAACAUAGUAUGGAAAUUAUCAUGAAUGAAAAAGUAAUCGAAUGAGUUGGGACUUUGCAAGGAAGGUGAAACUUCAUAUUGCAGGAUGGAUAUGUUCAUGAACUUCUCAAGUCCAUACAUUGCAAAGAGGUUUGAUGUCAAUGCUUUUACAUGUGCAUUUGGGAUGGACUUGUUUGAGUGUUAGCAAUUGCAGGAUGCCAAAGCAGAACAGAUAGUACUUUAGCUGAAUGACGUAAGUAAUGAGGACGACAUAAGUGAAGAAUUUCAAGAGGACGAUAUAAGUGAUGAAUUUCAAGAGAGUGACAUAGGUGAUGAAUUUCAAGAGGAAGACAUAGGUGAUGAAUUUCAAGAGGAAGACAUAGGUGAUGAAGAGGAUGAUGAACAUGACGAUGAGUUCGAAAAAAUUAAUUGAGUUGGAUGAUGUUGUUUUAGGCUUGUAAUUAAGAAAUUAUGUAUUUUAUCGUUUUGCUAGAUUUAUACUUCUUAGUAUUAACUAAUGUUAGAAAUUUUGCAUCUAUUGUAUGUAUUUGAGACAACGUACGAAGAUUUUAUUAACUCAA